UGACAUCAGCAGAAGGUCCCAGGAGUUUGCAGUUGUCCUGCCAGAAGGGGCCAGGGUUGUCCAGAGAGAGCAAAGGAAUGUAGCAUGUUACACAUCUCUGUGCAAGAAUUCAUGACAGAUAGAUACAGCAUCACAAGAUUAACCACAAAAAGCAGUGUGGUUUUUAAGCUGCUGACAUGAGGGAGACUUAGCAAAGAAGCUUCUAGAAGGAAAUAUAGAUUUGCCCUUUGCUGGCCUUAUUGGACAGUGACAUUCAGUAUAGGAAGGAAGAAACAGCCUGGACAAGGACACAGCUUCAGUGCACCUCAAAGGAAUACAGGAGGCUUUUUUACCUACUGAUAGCACAAGAGGCAGAGAAAAUUAGUGAGAUUAAGAAUGAAUUGUCCUGGAGAAACUUGUACCUGGAAAACCUACUGUAGUUUGGUUAGCUCAUUUGAGAGAUACAGAACAUACAACAACAAUGAAAGAGAAGAAAAAUUACCCAGUUCAUCACUGCAAAAGGGCAGGUCUUGGUUGAGUAUCAAGAAACAGCAAAGAAGAGAAUAAUGCAUGUGGGUAGCUCAGAAGGUGAGGAUCUAUUAAGACUUUAAAGAGACAAUCGUGGUGUCAACCUUUUCAGGAUGUGUACAAGAAAAACCUUUUCAGGAUGUGUACAAGAAAAACUCAUUGCAGAAGGGAGUUUUUAAGCUACAUUCAUGGAUGAAAGAAAAUGUUAAGGAAAAUGUGUCUGGCAUCCUUCUAGCCAUUUUUAAAGAUCUGUUCAAAAACUGAGUGGCUGCUACUCUUUGCUUAAAGCUUAGAGGCACAUCUAGGACUGAGCUUAA